rnacentral:rRNA from 1 species
AUAGCGUAUAUUAAAGUUGUUGCAGUUAAAAAGCUCGUAGUUGGAUUUCUGGUAGGAUAACUUUGCCCGUUUGAUAAGUGCGCAGAGUGAUCCUGCCAUCCUUCUGUUAACCAUUCAGUCUUUUCUUAGAUUGUUUGGGGCUCAGAUAUUUUACCUUGAGAAAAUUAGAGUGUUUCAGGCAGGCUAGCGCCGGAAUACAUUAGCAUGGAAUAAUAGAAUAGGACUUUUACCUCUUCUGUUGGUCUGAGGGGUUCAAGUAAUGAUUAAUAGGGAUAGUUGGGGGCAUUAGUCCUUAACUGUCAGAGGUGAAAUUCUUGGAUUUAUGAAAGACGAACAACUG